CGAUUGGGUAAGAACCCUAGCAUCCACUCCCGUCGCCGUUCCUCUCAUGCCGCCUACCUAACCGCUGCUCCUCUCCUCGCCGAGCUCGCUCUCGCCGCCGCAUCCCAUCCCCGUCGCGCUCCCGCCACCAUUCCUCCUUCCCUCCUACCACUCCCCUCCGCUAGGCCUAGAAAUCGACGAGGAGGCCGAGCCGCCACCCGCUACCGAUCCUCAGACCGUCCUGAUCGACCAAGCUCGGGGUCGAGGGGCGCGCCGGAUCCGGGCGCGGCGGCUCAUAUCCCCCAUGCUGCGCGGAAGGACGGCGACCUCGCCACCCGGUAGCCGCCUUCCUGGUCAGCGCCCUGCGGACGCGUUCCCGGCGGACUAUGUGGCUGCGCCCGUCGAGACAGAGAAGGAGCACAUGCCCGCCGACAGGUACCCCAGAUGCUGUGGCCGCGGCUCGAGGGCCUGGAUUUGGCCGCCGUUAGAAAGUACGCCAUAGAUGGGAUUUGGAAGCGGCGUUGUUUGUCAACUACCUUGAUAGGUUCCUCUUCGUCUAUCCCCUUCCUGAAGGCAAAGCGUGGGACGGCUCUUGGCAGUGGCUUGCAUUUGUCUCGCUUCAAAGAUGGAGGAGACCUAUGUGCCACUCCCCAUGGACCUGCAGGUGAUUGAGGCAAAGUCUUCCUUUGUACGGCAAUGAGCAUAAAAAGGGUGGAGCGGUUACUUCUUGCUCAUUUAUUGACUACUUCCUUCGCAACUUCAAUCAUCAUGACACACCCUCCAUGCUCGCAUUCACCCGUGACCGACCCCAUCUCGAGCACAACUAAAGGAGCUGAUUUUUGGGUUCAGACCUUCAUAGUUUGCUGCACCUGUUGCACUUGCUGUAUUUGGGUUGCUGCACCUGUUGCACUUGUUGUUAUUUGGGGAGCGCAACUUCAGUGGUUGAAAGAGCUACAACUAAUUGCAUGUGUAUAAACAAGGAGCGAGUGUUAAGAUGCUACAAAUUGAUUCAGGACAAGAUAGCAAUGGGAACCACGGUCAUCAAAUCGGUUGGAUCAUCAAUGUUCUAUGUGCCGCAAAGCCCGAUAGGCGUGUUGGAUGCUGAUGUAUGUCUCAGCCAACAGAGUGAUGAUACUGUUGUUGGAUCUCCAGCAACAUGAUUCCACAACUCUUCGACAAGCAAAAGGAUGAGAAUUGGCAGAUGACCAAUCACAUGUCGUGAUGUACUUAAGUUCAAGUGAUGGAAGAUAUUGUUUCAAUAAUAUUGAAGCUUUUUAGAUACUAUGGCAGUUGAGGUUCAUUUGAAGUCGCGGAUGGAUGUAUGAUUUAUGCACAAAUGUAUACGCGCCAUGUAGUGGUUAAUUAGAGGUGUUCUUCGGCUAAAAUUAGGCUGCUCCUGCCAUGUCUACCAGUGAAAUGCCUCCUUCCAUGAUAAAGCAGCCUACUCUUAGGUACAGAUCUUGGUGUUGAUUCUGCCUCACCUUUCCAGUCGGUAGUGGUUUGGUUUGCUGCAGGUUUCCUCGGUUUUCAGGAAUUGGGCAAAGCUUGAGGAUGAUGUAGACCGCUGCGCCACCUCUCUUGUCAUCCUGGUCGCUGCCUAGCCACUUUCUUCGAUUCAGAGGCUUGUGCCACUACAGUGGCCUUGACUAAUGGGAUCCUUUUAACGCCGCCACUGGAGGGCCUUCCGCCUGAGCCAGGAUCUCUUCUACCCUGCAUCGUUGUUGUGAACUCAUCCAUGCUGACAGCCGGCUCCAUGCUACACUGCUGCAGGCUGCAGACAUGUACAGGACAAGGCAAGAAAUCAGAAAUGGUUAGAGCGGUAUGCCUUGAAGAGAGCCAAGAGGAAGAGAGGCGAGUGUACAUGCCUGAAGACGGCAAGAUACCACUUCCACGACGACGUCAACAUCGUCGUGGUCUAUCUUCACCGGCACCGGCACCGGGGGCGCCGCCACAACAGGGUUAUGGAGCAGUAACUGCAAACAUAGAACCCCAUAUUAUGAUGGGUAACUGACUUUACUUAUAAGACAACAUGAACUGACAACUGCAAUUAUAACAUAUCUGGUAUUUUCAUAUUCUUUGUCAUGUGUAGAAUACAUGGUCUGAUAGAGUCAGCGUUUGUAUGAACUUUUGGUGGAUAAAGUGUUUUGUUCUCAAGAAAGUUCAUCAUUGAACACAACAAUUUGUUUGUGUUUUCUUGAGUUGCAAGACAUGAAUCUCUUCUACUGAUGUUACUAUAUGAAUGCAUAUACUAAAUCUGGAUUACUAC
rnacentral:rRNA from 1 species